CAAUAGCGUAUAUUAAAGUUGUUGCAGUUAAAAAGCUCGUAGUUGGACUUCUGAUGCGAAAGGUUGGUCCACCGCAAGGUGAGCACUGACUCUUCGCGUCUUCCUCUCGUAGUUGUUUGGCGCACUUAGUUGGGUGCCAGAUGAAUAUGGGACCUUUACUUUGAAAAAAUUAGAGUGUUCAAAGCAGGCAAUCGCUUGAAUACAUUAGCAUGGAAUAAUGAUAUAGGACCUUGGUUCUAUUUUGUUGGUUUCUAGGACUAAGGUAAUGAUUAAUAGGGACAAUUGGGGGCAUUCGUAUUAACGCGUCAGAGGUGGAAUUCUUAGAUUGCGUUACGACGAACUACUGCGAAAGCAUUUGCCAAGGAUGUUUUCAUUGAUCAAGAACGAAAGUAAGGGGAUCGAAGAUGAUUAGAU
rnacentral:rRNA from 1 species